UACGUAGGGUGCGAGCGUUUGUCCGGAAUUACUGGGCGUAAAGAGCUCGUAGGUGGUUUGUCGCGUUGUCCGUGAAAACUCACAACUCAAUUGUGGGCGUGCGGGCGAUACGGGCAGACUGGAGUACUGCAGGGGAGACUGGAAUUCCUGGUGUAGCGGUGGAAUGCGUAGAUAUCCGGAGGAACACCAGUGGCGAAGGCGACUUUCUGGCCUGUUCUUGACGCUGAGGCGCGAAAGCUAGGGGAGCAAACGGG
rnacentral:rRNA from 1 species